rnacentral:rRNA from 2 species
AGAGUUUGAUCAUGGCUCAGAUUGAACGCUGGCGGCAGGCCUAACACAUGCAAGUCGAGCGGUAGCACAGAGAGCUUGCUCUCGGGUGACGAGCGGCGGACGGGUGAGUAAUGUCUGGGAAACUGCCUGAUGGAGGGGGAUAACUACUGGAAACGGUAGCUAAUACCGCAUAAUGUCGCAAGACCAAAGUGGGGGACCUUCGGGCCUCAUGCCAUCAGAUGUGCCCAGAUGGGAUUAGCUAGUAGGUGGGGUAACGGCUCACCUAGGCGACGAUCCCUAGCUGGUCUGAGAGGAUGACCAGCCACACUGGAACUGAGACACGGUCCAGACUCCUACGGGAGGCAGCAGUGGGGAAUAUUGCACAAUGGGCGCAAGCCUGAUGCAGCCAUGCCGCGUGUGUGAAGAAGGCCUUCGGGUUGUAAAGCACUUUCAGCGGGGAGGAAGGCGAUAAGGUUAAUAACCUUGUCGAUUGACGUUACCCGCAGAAGAAGCACCGGCUAACUCCGUGCCAGCAGCCGCGGUAAUACGGAGGGUGCAAGCGUUAAUCGGAAUUACUGGGCGUAAAGCGCACGCAGGCGGUCUGUCAAGUCGGAUGUGAAAUCCCCGGGCUUAACCUGGGAACUGCAUUCGAAACUGGCAGGCUAGAGUCUUGUAGAGGGGGGUAGAAUUCCAGGUGUAGCGGUGAAAUGCGUAGAGAUCUGGAGGAAUACCGGUGGCGAAGGCGGCCCCCUGGACAAAGACUGACGCUCAGGUGCGAAAGCGUGGGGAGCAAACAGGAUUAGAUACCCUGGUAGUCCACGCCGUAAACGAUGUCGAUUUGGAGGUUGUGCCCUUGAGGCGUGGCUUCCGGAGCUAACGCGUUAAAUCGACCGCCUGGGGAGUACGGCCGCAAGGUUAAAACUCAAAUGAAUUGACGGGGGCCCGCACAAGCGGUGGAGCAUGUGGUUUAAUUCGAUGCAACGCGAAGAACCUUACCUGGUCUUGACAUCCACAGAACUUUCCAGAGAUGGAUUGGUGCCUUCGGGAACUGUGAGACAGGUGCUGCAUGGCUGUCGUCAGCUCGUGUUGUGAAAUGUUGGGUUAAGUCCCGCAACGAGCGCAACCCUUAUCCUUUGUUGCCAGCGGUUAGGCCGGGAACUCAAAGGAGACUGCCAGUGAUAAACUGGAGGAAGGUGGGGAUGACGUCAAGUCAUCAUGGCCCUUACGACCAGGGCUACACACGUGCUACAAUGGCAUAUACAAAGAGAAGCGACCUCGCGAGAGCAAGCGGACCUCAUAAAGUAUGUCGUAGUCCGGAUUGGAGUCUGCAACUCGACUCCAUGAAGUCGGAAUCGCUAGUAAUCGUAGAUCAGAAUGCUACGGUGAAUACGUUCCCGGGCCUUGUACACACCGCCCGUCACACCAUGGGAGUGGGUUGCAAAAGAAGUAGGUAGCUUAACCUUCGGGAGGGCGCUUACCACUUUGUGAUUCAUGACUGGGGUGAAGUCGUAACAAGGUAACCGUAGGGGAACCUGCGGUUG